AGUGAAUAGAUACCCUGGUAGUCCCAGCUGUAAACGAUGCGCGUUAGGUGUAUCGGUGACCACGAGUCACCGAGGUGCCGAAGGGAAACCGUGAAACGUGCCGCCUGGGAAGUACGGUCGCAAGGCUGAAACUUAAGGGAAUUGGCGGGGGAGCACCACAACAGGUGGAGCCUGCGGUUUAAUCGGACUCAACGCCGGGAAGCUCACCGGAUAAGACAGCUGAAUGAUAGCCGGGUUGAAGACUCUGCUUGACUAGCUGAGAGGAGGUGCAUGGCCGUCGUCAGUUCGUACUGUGAAGCAUCCUGUUAAGUCAGGCAACGAGCGAGACCCACGCCAACAGUUGCCAGCGUGUCCUCCGGGAUGGUGGGGACACUGUUGGGACCGCCUCUGCUAAACGAGGAGGAA
rnacentral:rRNA from 1 species